rnacentral:rRNA from 1 species
UAGGGAAUAUUAGAAAUGGACGAAAGUCUGAUCUAGCAACGCCGCGUGAAUGAUGAAGGCCUUCGGGUUGUAAAAUUCUGUUAUAAGGGAAGAACGACUUUAGUAGGAAAUGGCUAGAGUGUGACGGUACCUUAUGAGAAAGCCACGGCUAACUACGUGCCAGCAGCCGCGGUAAUACGUAGGUGGCGAGCGUUAUCCGGAAUUAUUGGGCGUAAAGAGCGCGCAGGUGGUUGAUUAAGUCUGAUGUGAAAGCCCACGGCUUAACCGUGGAGGGUCAUUGGAAACUGGUCGACUUGAGUGCAGAAGAGGGAAGUGGAAUUCCAUGUGUAGCGGUGAAAUGCGUAGAGAUAUGGAGGAACACCAGUGGCGAAGGCGGCUUCCUGGUCUGUAACUGACACUGAGGCGCGAAAGCGUGGGGAGCAAACA